GCUCAAUUAUCAUUUUAAUCAGACCAUUGAUCUGUGUUUGCUUGUUAUUACAUACAAAAGUUAAGAACCUUGGAAUGUAUGCGUUAAGCGUGUAAUACCAGCACAAAGCCAAGUGCAAACUUCAGUUGGGAGGUGGAACAAGCGGGGCUUACCAGGAUAGCGCGCUUAGUGCAGUCACAAGACCCGACCAUCCAUGAACAAAAACAUCCAGGCGUAAUUUUCACAGCUCGACUACAUUUAAGCAAGUAUAUCUGGAUAUAUGGAUACUUGAGGUACCCCAUCAUUUCCCUGGGGGGACAUGGCGCGAUGGAUAUCUCCAAGAACAUUUACGCGUCCAGCCCUCUGCCAGCUAUGAAUCUUUUAAUAAACCGCAGAGAGGAGUUUUGAGACACUUUUUAUAGUUAUCUGAACUUCUGUGAUGAAUUUGAAACGAAAGGAGGGGCGAAUGUCAAAGGAACUGACCACGAGUUGAGGAAAAAAAAAACCUAAGGGAAAGAGGUCUACAUUUGCCACCCACCCGAAAUCGAUUGUAUUACAUUCUAGAAGCUUCGCACUUGACGUAUAAAAACAAGACGCAUGUUCUCAAGAAAGACACGAGACAACAGGAACUGUUGGAAGAUAUAUUUUUCUCUGACAACUCUGAGUGCACAUCAUUAGAGGUAGAAACACCUACCAAUAUAUAUAUUCGCGCUGGAAAGCCAUGCGGGCUGAGAAGAGAAGGCACAUAUUGUUGAGUAUGAUUCUUUUGCUCAUCACCUCCAGCCAAUGCAUGGACAGCAAGGAGGUAAAGGAGUCGGAAAGGAAAACUCUGCUUAAUCUAAUCCUGCAAGUGAUCGAGGACAAGCCCGCGUCCAGACGCGUCACCAGUGGCCUCUACUCUGUAUCUCAAGAUGUGAAGUUUUCCUCUCGUGAAAAGACUCCACAUUUGUCCAAGCCGGACAACAGCAGACCAUUAGAUUAUAAAAGAUGUGCACGAUUGCUAACGAGGCUAGCUAUGAGUCCCCUUUGCACACAAUCAUAGAAACCGCAUGUCCUGAGGAUAUAAACGAAGAAACUCCAGAGAUGUUGGAGUAAAUUAUUUUUUCCAAGGAAGUGCCUUCAAAUCACUGCAAUUAACUGUCAUUGUUUUCAUGUCAUUUCCAUUUACAAAGUGUAAUUGUUCUAUAAUAAUAAUUAAAAAAUUUUUUUUUGCUUUUUAUCAUAAUUUAUGUUUGUUUUAAAAUGCUCUUAAAAUAUAGUUUUGUUUAAUAGCUUUGCUUUUUAUAUUAUGAGUUUUAAAGAAAGUAUUAUUUAUCUUUGCAGCCAAUUAUUUAUUUAAAUGAUUUGUAAAUAUUCUGUCCUGAUUGCAUUUGAAUAUGUAUCUCAUUAAGCCACCAUUACUCAAAUAUAUU
rnacentral:lncRNA from 1 species